rnacentral:rRNA from 1 species
AACGAACGCUGGCGGCAUGCCUAACACAUGCAAGUCGAACGAGACCUUCGGGUCUAGUGGCGCACGGGUGCGUAACGCGUGGGAAUCUGCCCUUGGGUUCGGGAUAACAGUUGGAAACGACUGCUAAUACCGGAUGAUGACUUCGGUCCAAAGAUUUAUCGCCCAGGGAUGAGCCCGCGUCGGAUUAGCUAGUUGGUGAGGUAAGAGCUCACCAAGGCGACGAUCCGUAGCUGGCCUGAGAGGAUGAUCAGCCACACUGGGACUGAGACACGGCCCAGACUCCUACGGGAGGCAGCAGUGGGGAAUAUUGGACAAUGGGCGAAAGCCUGAUCCAGCAAUGCCGCGUGAGUGAUGAAGGCCUUAGGGUUGUAAAGCUCUUUUACCCGGGAUGAUAAUGACAGUACCGGGAGAAUAAGCCCCGGCUAACUCCGUG